GACGAACGCUGGCGGCGUGCUUAACACAUGCAAGUCGAACGGGCCUUGUCCCCUUUUUUUUUGGGGGUGGGGUUAGUGGCGAACGGGUGAGUAACACGUGAGUAACCUGCCCCUCACUUCUGGAUAACCGCUUGAAAGGGUGGCUAAUACGGGGUGUUCUGGCCUGCUCGCAUGGGUGGGUUUGGAAAGAUUCGACCGGUUUUGGUUGUUUUGGUGGGGGAUGGGCUCGCGGCCUAUCAGCUUGUUGGUGGGGUGAUGGCCUGCCAAGGGUUUGACGGGUAGCCGGCCAGAGAGAGUGGGCGGACACAGUGGGAGUGAGAGACGGGCCAGACUGGGACGGGAGGCAGCAGUGGAGAAUUAUGCGCGACGGGCGCGAGGAUGAUGGAGCGACGGCGCGUGAGGGAUGGAGGCCUUGGGGUUGGGAACAUCUUUCGCUAGGGAAGGAGGUGCUGCUCUUUGUGGUGGGGUUAAGGGUGGAUGGGGUGAAGAAGCGCCGGCUAACUACGUG
rnacentral:rRNA from 1 species